CCAGCAGCCGCGGUAAUUCCAGCUCCGAUGGCAUAUAUUAAAGUUGCUGCAGUUAAAAGGCUCGUAGUUGGAUCUCAGCCGUGGAAGCGAGGUGCACUUGACGGUGUAUUCACGCGACUGCACUUCUUUGGCCACGCGUGCCCUGGUGAUCUUAGUUGAUCGCCUCGGGCGUGCUGGCGUCUUUUACUUUGAAAAAAAUAGAGUGUUCACGGCGUCCAUAGACAUGGUCGCAUAAAGUUGCAUGGAAUAAUGAAAGAGGACCUCGGUUCAUUUCGCUGGCUUCGAUGAGUCCGAGGUAAUGACUAAUAAGAGCGGCCGGGGGCAUUCGUAUUACGACGGGAGAGGUGAAAUUCUACGAUCGUCGUAAGACGGACGGCAGCGAAAGCGUUUGUCAAGAACGUUUUCAUUAGUCAGGAACGAAAGUUAGAGGCACGAAGACGAUCAGAUACCGUCGUAGUUCUGACCGUAAACGAUGCCAGAUGACAAUCUGUCGAAGUUAGAUCCGCAUGACUCGGCAGGCAGCCACUCGCGGGAAACCAAAACUUUUGGGCUCUGGGGGAAGUAUGGUUGCAAAACUGAAACUUAAAGGAAUUGACGGAAGGGCACCACCAGGAGUGGAGCCUGUGGCUUAAUUUGACUCAACACUGGGCAACUCACCCGGUCCGAACAUAUGCGAGGAUUGACAGAUUGAAAGCUCUUUCUCGAUUCAGUGGAUGGUGGUGCAUGGCCGUUCUUAGUUCGUGGAACGAUUUGUCUGGUUAAUUCCGAUAACGAACGAGACUCUAGCCUGUUAAAUAGUUGUGCGAUGUACUUCGGUAGUCGGCAACAUACAACUUCUUAGAGGGACAUGUGGCUUAUAGUCACACGAGAAUGAGCAAUAACAGGUCUGUGAUGCCCUUAGAUGUUCGGGGCCGCACGCGGGCUACAAUGUUUGUAUCAGCGUGUAUUAAUCCUGACCCGAAAUGGUUGGGCAAGCCCAUGAAAUGCGAAUUCAGUCGGGACUGGGGCCUGUAACGGUGCCUCACGAACGUGGAAUUCCAAGUAAGCAGGAGUCAACAGCUUCUGCUGACAGAGUCCCUGCCCUUUGUACACACCGCCCGUCGCUACUACCGAUGAACGGUUUGGUGAGACCUCUAGAUUCGCCAGUGGGGCUUCGCGCUCCGCGUGCUGGUGGAGAAGUUGGUCGAACUUGGUCGUUAGAGGAAG
rnacentral:rRNA from 1 species